UACGAGGGGGCAAGCGUUGUUCGGAAUUAUUGGGCGUAAAGGGUGCGUAGGCGGCCUGACAAGUCUGAUGUGAAAUCCCUGGGCUCAACCCAGGGCCUGCAUCGGAAACUGUCGGGCUUGAGUAUGGGAGAGGUGAGUGGAAUUUCCGGUGUAGCGGUGAAAUGCGUAGAUAUCGGAAGGAACACCUGUGGCGAAAGCGGCUCACUGGACCAUUACUGACGCUGAGGCACGAAAGCUAGGGAGCAAACAGG
rnacentral:rRNA from 1 species